rnacentral:rRNA from 1 species
AUUGAACGCUGGCGGCAGGCCUAACACAUGCAAGUCGAACGGUAGCACAGAGAGCUUGCUCUCGGGUGACGAGUGGCGGACGGGUGAGUAAUGUCUGGGAAACUGCCCGAUGGAGGGGGAUAACUACUGGAAACGGUAGCUAAUACCGCAUAACGUCGCAAGACCAAAGUGGGGGACCUUCGGGCCUCACACCAUCGGAUGUGCCCAGCUGGGAUUAGCUAGUAGGUGGGGUAAUGGCUCACCUAGGCGACGAUCCCUAGCUGGUCUGAGAGGAUGACCAGCCAACCUGGAACUGAGACACGUGCCAGACUCCUACGGGAGGCAGCAGUGGGGAAUAUUGCACAAUGGGCGCAAGCCUGAUGCAGCCAUGCCGCGUGUAUGAAGAAGGCCUUCGGGUUGUAAAGUACUUUCAGCGGGGAGGAAGGCGGUGAAGUUAAUAACUUCACCGAUUGACGUUACCCGCAGAAGAAGCACCGGCUAACUCCGUGCCAGCAGCCGCAGUAA